rnacentral:rRNA from 1 species
AUUGAACGCUGGCGGAAUGCUUUACACAUGCAAGUCGAACGGCAGCACGGACUUCGGUCUGGUGGCGAGUGGCGAACGGGUGAGUAAUACAUCGGAACGUGCCCGGACGUGGGGGAUAACUACUCGAAAGAGUGGCUAAUACCGCAUACGAUCCAAGGAUGAAAGCGGGGGAUCGCAAGACCUCGCGCGUUUGGAGCGGCCGAUGGCAGAUUAGGUAGUUGGUGAGGUAAAGGCUUACCAAGCCUGCGAUCUGUAGCUGGUCUGAGAGGAUGAUCAGCCACACUGGGACUGAGACACGGCCCAGACUCCUACGGGAGGCAGCAGUGGGGGAAUUUUGGGACAAUGGGCGAAAGCCUGAUCCAGCCAUUCCGCGUGCAGGAUGAAGGCCCUCGGGUUGUAAACUGCUUUGUACGGAACGAAAAGGCUCUUGCUAAUACCAGGAGUCCAUGACGGUACCGUAAGAAUAAGCACCGGCUAACUACGUGCCAGCAGCCGCGG